rnacentral:lncRNA from 1 species
AUUUUUGAGAGCCCACAACAAUUCUCUAUCCUACGUGGCGCUCUCAAAUUUCAGGAUUUCAUCAGCUCUCAAUUCCUCACACCGUGCCUUCAAAAUUAUUUUUUAUUUUUCUCUCGCCUUGCAGCUUCUUCCAUCGCCGAAACAAUCGCCGAAACAAAGGCUAUCUCUCUCCCUGCAUCUUUUUCAAUCACCGAAACAAUUGUCAUCUUCACUCUGCAUCUUCAUCAAUCACCCACGUAAUUUGUCGAGUCCAUCUAAAGUUUCAUGAAUUAGUCUACAUACAAAUUUCAAUCUCAGGAAAUCUCACGAAGCUCAAAGAUUUUCCUCGCAUCUCAGCAUUCAAAUUCGUCGAUCACCGAAACAAUCUCCCUCGCUGUGUCCAUCUACGAUCCACGAAUCAGUUUGUGAUUAAUCAAUUUUGAGAGGUACUUGAUUUUCUACAUGUUAAUUUUCUCCCUAAUUUCAUCUCAAUUUAUAUUUCUAAACUAUUCAAAAACCUUGAUCUUUUGUAUAAAUUCAAUGAAUUGAGGAAAUGAACCAUCUACCCCAUACCCGUCACAGCCCUCCCCUUAAGCCAAACAAGUUUGCACGCCGGCGAGAGGAAAAAGUCAUGUACGCCAAAAUUUUCAGUUACAGGUUAGUUUUUGCCUUAUCCUUUUUUGAUUGAAUGUAUAGUUUCAAAGAUAAAUAUGUGUGCUCAUCUAUUUGUUUAUUCAAUGAAUCUUGUGUUUUUAUUCUCUGCGAAUUUACCCAGAUAUUGUCUGUGUUUCAUAGUUCUAAUCUGAAUGGGUAAAGCAUAAGAUAUUUAAAUGACUUUUUAUUUUAUAUAGACAAUAUUUAAGUUUUCACCAGAAUAACAUGAUGGCUCUGAUCAACUGUUCUCCCUGGCCCUUCUUUUAAAUUGUGGGGGGUGAAGAUUCAAGGCUUCUGUGGUUUAGGUAAGUUGGAGAAAAUUGGAAGAAAAGGUGUAAGAAUUGUCAUUUGUAUUUGAUAGAUGGAUGCACGAGGAGUUUGGUGUCUUAUUUUCUUAAUGUGGUUUUUCCUUCCUCCUUUUAUUUUAUAUUCUUAUCCUUGAUUACUCCUAGAUAUAGGGUGCUUGGGAAGUAAUGUAAUAGAAAAGAAUAUGCAUUUCAUGUAUUUAAAAUUGUUGGCUGAUAUGUCUUCAAGUGAGGAUUCUUUGAGCUUUUAUCUUGCUCUGACAUGUUAGGUAGAGAUGCUCCCGAUAUAGCAAAUGACACAACAUUUUCAUAUAUAGAAUGUAACCUGUGAUGGCUGGCUGUAAUUGAUAUAUGGUGGCAUUGCCUGUUGAGAAUUGUAUUUGUAAUAUGGAAUCUGGUGUUUGAAUCAUGAAUGAAUGAGUAAAGAAAAUACAAAUUGUUAUUCUGUUGAAGAGGAUGGGGAGGAUGAAGAAGAGACCGAAGAUGAGGUAUAAUUUAUUCUAUCCUUGAUAAUUUAACUCUUGUGAUUGCUUUACUUCCCUGUUUUGGUUUAGAUUUUUGGCUGGGAGUAAGCGAUUGCUUUACUUCCCUGUUUUGUUUUCGAAAUGAGCUGUAGUUAGUGAUGUAUUGUGUGAGUUUCCUUUGCUAUUCUUUGGUUUUUGUUCCUAUCUUGGAGGAUUUGUUAUGGGUUAUUAUGGGUUAGCUUUGCGUAAUACUUAUCUGAUAUAAAGUAACUUAGAUUUUAAGAUGAGGAUGUGAUGCGCUGCAUAUACUUGGAAUGUUAAUAGUAGGUGAUUUUUAUUGGUUAAUUACCAAACUGUAGAAGAGGUAACACUUUUGUUUUAAUGGAAAUAGUCUCUCAAAUAUUUAUAGUUUCAGAUACAUAUCUGAUAUAAAGUAACUUACAUUUCACUUUGAAUAAAUCCAUCAUUUUUACAGAAACCCUGCAAUCAUGAGAAUAUUCUUCCUGCAAUAAAGAAAAUUCUCCACUCAAUUUAUACACGUAUCAUGCAUGGCAGAACCGUAGAGAUGGAAUAAUCAUAAGCAAUAGAACAAAUAUAGCAGGUUUCAAGUCAUUCUUCCAUAUUCUAAAGAUGCGAAAAAGAAUAUUAUGUGGCCAAAGGAAAAACGUGCAACUUAUUGUAAACGCCACAAUCAUCAUAUUUUCUCUACAGAGUUCAUGUGAUGCCAAAUCUGAGCAUUUCUAUGGCUAACAUGUAUUCCUUUUCUUGCAAAAGAGAAUCAUGUUUCCUAGCGGAUGUUGUCUUUACAUUAUAAGCUGUUUUGUUGCUUGACUUUUUAUUCUUUGCACAUCCCUUUCUCUGUCAUUUUUGUCUUGAAAGGAGUAUAUGUCAGUAUAUGUCAUGUAUUGACUCCAUGAAAUGAUUUUAGAAAGGGAAGAAUUAUGCUGCUUUGAGGGUGAAGUCUUAAAAUUCAUUCUCUAUGAGAUGAUUUUAGACCUGGAAGAAUCAUGCUGCUUUUAGGUUGAAAGGGAUUUAGAUAAGUAGUAGUAUAGAAUAUAAGAAAGCUUUAAGUUGAAGCUUAAUUUAAUGAUGGGAAGGAAUAAAAUAGCAUAAGAAGUUCUCCAUAUCAGAAGUAUUUUAAAUAAGAAGGAACAAUGAGCAGGAGCAGCCAUCGUUGAACGCAUUUGUAAGUGAAAAUUCCGCCUACUGCCGUCUCCCUCUCCCUCUCCGCCCCCGCCGGUGUAUUUGCCCUAUUUUGAAAGGUUUGUGAUUAUUCAUAAACUUUUGGUGCAUUUUUCUUAUUUUUCUCAUAUUAUUUCAUAAUAGAUCCGUGUUUUGUUUAUCAGUCGUUCACAAUUGCUGCUCCGACCGCCGUCGAUCGUCUCCGGUUAGUGUUUGCCCCGCCCCCUGCUCUGCCGCCGGCGAUCAUUCUCUUUCAAAAUCAUUAGUGACAUUGUAAAUAUCUGUAUCAUUUCUUUCAAAAUCAUUAGUGUUGAACCAUUUAUUUUUUUUAAUAUUAUAUCUUUGUCAUCAAGCUUUACUUAAUUAUUUUUGUAAUAUUAUUGCCGAUUUUUAGGUGAAUUAAGAUUGUCAUAUUAUUUUACUCGCUUAUUUUUUUAAUAUUAUAUCUUUGUCA